rnacentral:rRNA from 1 species
UACGGGGGGGCAAGCGUUGUUCGGAAUUACUGGGCGUAAAGGGCGCGUAGGCGGUUCGCUAAGUCGGAUGUGAAAACUCUGGGCUCAACCCAGAGCCUGCAUCCGAAACUGGCGGGCUAGAGUUCUGGAGGGGGUAGCGGAAUUCCUGGUGUAGCGGUGAAAUGCGUAGAUAUCAGGAGGAACACCGGUGGCGAAGGCGGCUACCUGGACAGAAACUGACGCUGAGGCGCGAAAGCUAGGGGAGCAAACAGG